rnacentral:rRNA from 1 species
CUGGCGGCAGGCCUAACACAUGCAAGUCGAGCGCACUCUUCGGAGUGAGCGGCGGACGGGUUAGUAACGCGUGGGAACAUACCCUUUUCUACGGAAUAGCCUCGGGAAACUGAGAGUAAUACCGUAUACGCCCUUUUGGGGAAAGAUUUAUCGGUGAAGGAUUGGCCCGCGUUUGAUUAGAUAGUUGGUGGGGUAAUGGCCUACCAAGUCUACGAUCAAUAGCUGGUUUGAGAGGAUGAUCAGCAACACUGGGACUGAGACACGGCCCAGACUCCUACGGGAGGCAGCAGUGGGGAAUCUUAGACAAUGGGCGCAAGCCUGAUCUAGCCAUGCCGCGUGAGUGACGAAGGCCUUAGGGUCGUAAAGCUCUUUCGCCAGGGAUGAUAAUGACAGUACCUGGUAAAGAAACCCCGGCUAACUCCGUGCCAGCAGCCGCGGUAAUACGGAGGGGGUUAGCGUUGUUCGGAAUUACUGGGCGUAAAGCGUACGUAGGCGGAUUGGAAAGUAUGGGGUGAAAUCCCAGGGCUCAACCCUGGAACUGCCCUGUAAACUAUCAGUCUAGAGUUCGAGAGAGGUGAGUGGAAUUCCAAGUGUAGAGGUGAAAUUCGUAGAUAUUUGGAGGAACACCAGUGGCGAAGGCGGCUCACUGGCUCGAUACUGACGCUGAGGUACGAAAGUGUGGGGAGCAAACAGGAUUAGAUACCCUGGUAGUCCGCACCGUAAACGAUGAAUGCCAGACGUCGGGGGGCUUGCCCUUCGGUGUCACACCUAACGGAU